GAGAUCAUUCACAUACUUACGAAGCCUCAGUCUGCUUGGCAGGGAAUAUUGUGUUCUUUUUGUUUGAUGAACUCAUAGGACACAUAUGUCAUGCACACUGGGAGGCUAAGCGUGGCGUUUUCCAAGCAUGGUGAUUUUCGUUGGUCUCUGCAUCUGCGUGAAACUUCUAUGAAGCCAACCUUCUCCGUAAAAAGAUCUUACAAGAGCUCUGGUUUGAAUUUGGAAGAGCUGCACACCGUGUUGCUGUUUUUUAAGCUUCAGAAUUCAGACAAAUAGCAAGGCUCCAGUUUUAAUUAUGUUAUGUAUUUUGUAUUUUCCAUGAUUUUUUUUUUUGUUUUACAGCCAUGAUAUUGAUGUUUUUAU